rnacentral:rRNA from 1 species
UGUAUAAUGGGUCAGCGACUUAUAUUCUGUAGCAAGGUUAACCGAAUAGGGGAGCCGAAGGGAAACCGAGUCUUAACUGGGCGUUAAGUUGCAGGGUAUAGACCCGAAACCCGGUGAUCUAGCCAUGGGCAGGUUGAAGGUUGGGUAACACUAACUGGAGGACCGAACCGACUAAUGUUGAAAAAUUAGCGGAUGACUUGUGGCUGGGGGUGAAAGGCCAAUCAAACCGGGAGAUAGCUGGUUCUCCCCGAAAGCUAUUUAGGUAGCGCCUCGUGAAUUCAUCUCCGGGGGUAGAGCACUGUUUCGGCAAGGGGGUCAUCCCGACUUACCAACCCGAUGCAAACUGCGAAUACCGGAGAAUGUUAUCACGGGAGACACACGGCGGGUGCUAACGUCCGUCGUGAAGAGGGAAACAACCCAGACCGCCAGCUAAGGUCCCAAAGUCAUGGUUAAGUGGGAAACGAUGUGGGAAGGCCCAGACAGCCAGGAUGUUGGCUUAGAAGCAGCCAUCAUUUAAAGAAAGCGUAAUAGCUCACUGGUCGAGUCGGCCUGCGCGGAAGAUGUAACGGGGCUAAACCAUGCACCGAAGCUGCGGCAGCGACACUGUGUGUUGUUGGGUAGGGGAGCGUUCUGUAAGCCUGUGAAGGUGUGCUGUGAGGCAUGCUGGAGGUAUCAGAAGUGCGAAUGCUGACAUAAGUAACGAUAAAGCGGGUGAAAAGCCCGCUCGCCGGAAGACCAAGGGUUCCUGUCCAACGUUAAUCGGGGCAGGGUGAGUCGACCCCUAAGGCGAGGCCGAAAGGCGUAGUCGAUGGGAAACAGGUUAAUAUUCCUGUACUUGGUGUUACUGCGAAGGGGGGACGGAGAAGGCUAUGUUGGCCGGGCGACGGUUGUCCCGGUUUAAGCGUGUAGGCUGGUUUUCCAGGCAAAUCCGGAAAACUAAGGCUGAGGCGUGAUGACGAGGCACUACGGUGCUGAAGCAACAAAUGCCCUGCUUCCAGGAAAAGCCUCUAAGCAUCAGGUAACAUUAAAUCGUACCCCAAACCGACACAGGUGGUCAGGUAGAGAAUACCAAGGCGCUUGAGAGAACUCGGGUGAAGGAACUAGGCAAAAUGGUGCCGUAACUUCGGGAGAAGGCACGCUGAUAUGUAGGUGAAGUCCCUCGCGGAUGGAGCUGAAAUCAGUCGAAGAUACCAGCUGGCUGCAACUGUUUAUUAAAAACACAGCACUGUGCAAACACGAAAGUGGACGUAUACGGUGUGACGCCUGCCCGGUGCCGGAAGGUUAAUUGAUGGGGUUAGCGGUAACGCGAAGCUCUUGAUCGAAGCCCCGGUAAACGGCGGCCGUAACUAUAACGGUCCUAAGGUAGCGAAAUUCCUUGUCGGGUAAGUUCCGACCUGCACGAAUGGCGUAAUGAUGGCCAGGCUGUCUCCACCCGAGACUCAGUGAAAUUGAACUCGCUGUGAAGAUGCAGUGUACCCGCGGCAAGACGGAAAGACCCCGUGAACCUUUACUAUAGCUUGACACUGAACAUUGAGCCUUGAUGUGUAGGAUAGGUGGGAGGCUUUGAAGUGUGGACGCCAGUCUGCAUGGAGCCGGCCUUGAAAUACCACCCUUUAAUGUUUGA